AUUGAACGCUGGCGGCAGGCCUAACACAUGCAAGUCGAGCGAGCGGCGGACGGGUGAGUAAUGUCUGGGGACUGCCCGAUAGAGGGGGAUAACUACUGGAAACGGUGGCUAAUCCCGCAUACUAUCGGAUAACCCAUAUGGUCUUAGCUAGUAGGUGGGGGAAAGGCUCACCUAGGCGACGACAUCUAGCUGGUCUGAGAGGCUGAUCAGCCACACUGGGCAUGAGACACGGCCCAGAGUCCUACGGAGGCAGCAGUGGGGAAUAUUGCACAAGUGGCGCAAGCCUGAUGCAGCCAUGCCGCGUGUAUGAAGAAGGCCUUAGGGUUGUAGAGUACUUUCAGCGGGGAGGCGUUACCCGCAGAAGAAGCACCGGCUAACUCCGUGCCAGCAGCCGCGGUAAUAC
rnacentral:rRNA from 1 species